rnacentral:rRNA from 1 species
UACGAAGGGGGCUAGCGUUGCUCGGAAUCACUGGGCGUAAAGCGCACGUAGGCGGAUUGCUAAGUCAGGGGUGAAAUCCUGGAGCUCAACUCCAGAACUGCCUUUGAUACUGGCGAUCUCGAGUCCGGGAGAGGUGAGUGGAACUGCGAGUGUAGAGGUGAAAUUCGUAGAUAUUCGCAAGAACACCAGUGGCGAAGGCGGCUCACUGGCCCGGUACUGACGCUGAGGUGCGAAAGCGUGGGGAGCAAGCAGGG